GAUGAACGCUGGCGGCGUGCCUAACACAUGCAAGUCGAACGGAGAAGGCGGGCCUUGCUCUGGUGUCUGAGUUGCGAACGGGUGAGUAACGCGUGAGUAACCUGCCUAGUAGCGGGGGAUAACUUGAGGAAACGGUAGCUAAUACCGCAUGCCAGCAGUUGCUGCAUGGUGAUUGUUGGAAAGGGUCAACUGCUAUACUACUAAUUGGAACUGCGUUGUUUUUGGUAGUUGGGGAGGCAAAGGCUCACCUAGGCGACUAUACAUAGACGACGGGCAAGGGUGAUUGGCCACACUGGGACUGAGACCCGGCCCAGACUCCUACGGGAGGCAGCAGGAGGGAAUCUUCGGCCAUGGACGGAAGUCUGACCGAGCAACGCCGCGUGAGUGAAGAAGGUUUUCGGGUCGUAAAGCUCUGUUGUAAGGGAAGAACGAGUGUGAGAGUGGAAAGUUCACACUGUGACGGUAUCUUACCAAAAAGCAACGGCUAACUACGUG
rnacentral:rRNA from 1 species